AUGUUCUACAAGGACCCAGACCACCAUGCAGUUCUCUGUGCACAGACUAUGGAGGCAGGCUCCAGGGAGGAGGUGAGGGCUCAGCUCCCUGGGGACGGUGACUGGGAAUGGAGUGGCUGUGAUUUAUUUUCCAUCGAGCAAAGUCAAAGCGAGGACUCCAAGUUCCAUACGAUAGCAACCACAACAACAGCUGUCAUUGGUUAUUUAGUGUGUCAGGGUUUGCAAAGCGGUGGCAGAGAGCCUCAGAAAAGCGCUCAAAGGCCUGCGUCUGCUCCAAUCCAGGAUGGGAAACCAUCAUGAAGAUGUUGCCUUUCUUUCUUGCCAUUUAAAAGGCUUUAUCUGGCUUAAAAAAGAUACUAGUCUUCCUGCCUUCCUUCCUCAACUGGGUCUCCUCUCUGCCCACACUCUCUCUCUCUACUCUCUCUCUCUCUCUCUUCUCUCUCUUCUCUCUC
rnacentral:lncRNA from 1 species